rnacentral:tRNA from 1 species
UGGUUUAGUGAUAGAACACUUGCUUAGUGUGCAUGAAGCCCUGGGUUCAAUCCCCAG